UACAGAGGUGGCAAGCGUUGUUCGGAAUUACUGGGCGUAAAGGGCGCGUAGGCGGUCUUGCAAGUCCUGUGUGAAAUCCCUCGGCUCAACUGAGGAACUGCACAGGAAACUGCUUGGCUUGAGUUCGGGAGAGGGAAGCGGAAUUCCGGGUGUAGCGGUGAAAUGCGCAGAUAUCAGGAGGAACACCGGUGGCGAAGGCGGCAUCCUGGACCGGUAUUGACGCUGAUGCGCGAAAGCCAGGGGAGCAAACGGG
rnacentral:rRNA from 1 species